GAAAACGCAGACCAUAAUUGCAGUACUCACAGGAAGCAGCUGUUUGCGUUUCCUGCCGGGACGUCCCACGCGGCGUUUAUUAGGAGGGCUGGCUGGGGUCCCCUCCUCCGGGCUGUCCUGGUCUACCCCGUCCUCACUCUGGGAAAAUGCAAGACAAGCCAAGAUAUUUACAACACAAUUUAAAUGGUGUUUUGAUUUAAAAUUAGGCACAGAGCAAUUAUAGAUUCAAUGUAAUUUAAAACAUGAGAAAAGGAACUAAAGUAACACCAGAACCUUGUGCCAUCAUCUCUUCUCUAAUGCCAGUCUAAUGUUCUCCUGCUGGACCCGGUGCCGCCGUGACACACAAGUGGUUGCUAAGGUGCAAAAACUGCUUAGCAACUGUCUCCGCUGCCCGACUGGUGCUGCUGCCGAAAAACAUGGAAGAUGACAAAUCCCUGAAGACCAACUUGCACACGUGUACAAGUCGCAGAGGACACGGCAGUUGCUAAGAGACCAGACUGCAGACCGGGCGUUGAGCAGCAGCAGCAGCAGCCUCCCUGGAGCCGCAGACACCGUGUCCUCUUUAUUUGUGCUACAUCCUCCCGCUCUGUGCCACCGCUACUACUCCUGUUCGCCCUCUGCUUUGUCUCACCAU